rnacentral:tRNA from 1 species
UCCGAAAUAGCUCAGUUGGGAGAGCAUUAGACUAUAGAUCUAAAAGUCCGUGGUUCGAUCACGGGUCUCGGCA